GAGAGGGGGGAGCUUGGAAGGGGACUUAAAGCCCACCCGGUUCCAUGGGCAGGAUCGAGAGCCACAGGGUGGUCGAAGGCACUGCUGAUGCAAAGCAGAAGGAAGACUUGACCUCAUCUCUUUUCUAAAGCGCAAGAUGCAAAGAAAAUCCGCUUGAUAUAAAGAGCACCCUAUAAUUGCCUUUGUCCUUUAGGUCCUGCUCUUCUGUUUGUAAAAACCGGCCAAGAAAACACAGAGGGAAGAAGAUUUUAUGCUUGUUCAGCUUGUAGGGACAGAAAAGAUUGUAAUUUUUUCCAGUGGGAAAAUGAGAAGCAGGAGACCUCUACCAUCCAGCAGGCACCUAGUGAAUCUCUCGACGCUCACGCAAGAGGUUAACGGUCUACAUCUCACUAUGCAACAAAGGAGCACAACCAUGGCAAAAUAGAAGUACAUAAUGUGACGCUCAUUAACGCAGAUCUGACACGGUGGAGAUGUAGAUGGUACUACAGAGAGCAGCAGAAACACCAGAAGAAAAAGGAAUGCAAUGACACUUACUGGCAAGUCCUGGUGCCAGAGAGACUGGGACAGGUACUGCGUUUGUGACCGGACUUGCCACAGACAAAACAGCCAGCAUCAGUCUUCUCACAAGUGUGGUUCUGAAGUGUGCAGCAGU